GAUGAACGCUGGCGGCGUGCUUAACACAUGCAAGUCGAACGGAAAGGCCCAAGCUUGCUUGGGUACUCGAGUGGCGAACGGGUGAGUAACACGUGGGUGAUCUGCCCUGCACUUCGGAAUAAGCCUGGGAAACUGGGGCUAAUACCGGAUAGGACGAUGGUUUGGAUGCCAUUGUGGAAAGUUUUUUCGGUGUGGGAUGAGCUCGCGGCCUAUCAGCUUGUUGGUGGGGUAAUGGCCUACCAAGGCGUCGACGGGUAGCCGGCCUGAGAGGGUGUACGGCCACAUUGGGACUGAGAUACGGCCCAGACUCCUACGGGAGGCAGCAGUGGGGAAUAUUGCACAAUGGGCGCAAGCCUGAUGCAGCGACGCCGCGUGGGGGAUGACGGCCUUCGGGUUGUAAACUCCUUUCGCUAGGGACGAAGCGUUUUGUGACGGUACCUGGAGAAGAAGCACCGGCUAACUACGUG
rnacentral:rRNA from 1 species